rnacentral:rRNA from 1 species
AACGUAGGUGGCGAGCGUUAUCCGGAUUUACUGGGCGUAAAGCGUGUGCAGGCGGCCUGUCAAGUGGUGUAUGAAAUAUCCAGGCUCAACCUGGAGGGGUUAUGCCAGACUGGCAGGCUAGAGUGCGAGAGAGGGGCGUGGAAUUCCGGGUGUAGUGGUGAAAUGCGUAGAGAUCCGGAGGAACCCCAGAGGCGAAGGCGGCGCCCUGGCUCGCCACUGACGCUCAGACACGACAGCAUGGGGAGCGAACGGG